rnacentral:rRNA from 1 species
UACGUGAAACCGUUCAGGGGUAAACCUGAGAAACCCAAAAGAUCGAAUGGGGAGAUUCAUCGUCAGCGGCGUUGGCUUCCGUGCGGAUCGCGAUGUCGGGGGCUUCGGCCUCGCGGCACGCGUCCGCUGCGGUAUGUCCGACGUUGUCGGCGUGCACUUCUCCCCUAGUAGGACGUCGCGACCCGUUGGGUGUCGGCCUACGGCCCGGGUGGUCGACUGUCGCGUCGUUUCGGCGUACGCGGCAGACCCCCGGAUGCCUGGCCGGCUGCUCGGCGGUAUUCGCACGGUAUCGGGCCGCAGUUACUGCGUCGGGCUCGUCGCAAGCGAGGCCAGCGAUACCCGGAUUACGGACCUAGUGCCGUACCCGGGCCUGGCCAGCUGUUGGUUGACGGUGUCCUCGGACAGGCUCUCUCGAAUUUUGAUACCGGUCGGCGACGCUACUGCUUUGGGUACUUUCAGGACCCGUCUUGAAACACGGACCAAGGAGUCUAACAUGUGCGCGAGUCAUUGGGACCGCAAGCCUAAAGGCGUAAUGAAAGUGAAGGUCGGCUUCGCCGUCGACCGAGGGAGGAUGGGUCGCGUCACGAUGCGAUCCCGCACUCCCGGGGCGUCUCGUACUCAUUGCGAGUAGAGGCGCACCCAGAGCGUACACGUUGGGACCCGAAAGAUGGUGAACUAUGCCUGGUCAGGACGAAGUCAGGGGAAACCCUGAUGGAGGUCCGUAGCGAUUCUGACGUGCAAAUCGAUCGUCGGAACUGGGUAUAGGGGCGAAAGACUAAUCGAACCAUC